ACCCUCCAAGAAGAGAGAAUCCAUUCCUGGACCCUUUUGCUAUGAGCAGUUGAUGCUGGCAUCCUUCUUUUUACUCCAGGAGGGGAAGAGAGGACGCGCAGGGCAGAGAGAGAGGGAGGAGAGCAACCCCGCGGCGAUGCCCACAGCUCUUGCCUUGUUGACGGCCCGGCGACCUUGCACCCGAAUAGAGAGAGACAGAGCGAUGCAGGCUUCCAGCUCCAGGAGGCGCACGGGGCCAACAUAAAGCCCCUGUGGCAAACACCGUGAAAUGCAGAAUGCUGUGAAGCAGGAGGAGGCGCUCACGGCCCAUGGAGGACACGGGUAACAGCACUGCGCUCAUCUCUAGCAGCUCUCGGCCAGGACAGCAGCGGCCCGUGGAGCAGGGGAGGGGCCCUGCAGACUUCCCGGCCCCACGGCGUCGCGUCCUGCGGGUCUCCCUGUCUCGGCACAGCCCACUCGCCUCCGGGGGACGCUCCCUCUCCAGCCAGCCCUGCCUGCUCAGGGUCCCUGCUCCACGGCGCUCCUGAGCUGCCAGCUUCCUGAUCCCCUCAGCGAGACGUGAGCACCACGUAGUAAGUGCUGCUGGGAGAACUUUCGUUCCUGCAGAAGUUUCUACUAAAUAGUCUCACACCAGGGCCC
ensembl:lncRNA